UAAGCACAAUAAGACCAUCUUGAUUCUUAAUUUUCUCUUUUGUUUCAAUGGCUUCUUCAAGAAGGGGUUUUACUUCACAACAAGAACUUGUCAUCAAAGAAUUCGAGAGAUAUCAAGCACUUAUCAAAACAUUGAAGGAAAUAGAAAAGGUGACACAUAUGCUUCAACAUUCAUUGCUCUACAAGAAGAACACAUUG